rnacentral:rRNA from 1 species
UACGUAGGGGGCAAGCGUUGUCCGGAAUUAUUGGGCGUAAAGAGCGUGUAGGCGGUCCGGUAAGUCAGCUGUGAAAGUCAAGGGCUCAACCCUUGAAAGCCGGUUGAUACUGUCGGGCUAGAGUCCGGAAGAGGCGAGUGGAAUUCCCGGUGUAGCGGUGAAAUGCGUAGAUAUCAGGAGGAACACCGGUGGUGUAGACGGCUCUCUGGACCGUAACUGACGCUGAGACACGAAAGCGUGGGUAGCAAACAGG